ensembl:misc_RNA Metazoa_SRP Metazoan signal recognition particle RNA
GCUGGGCGUGGUGGCUCACGCCUGUAAUCCUAGCACUUUGGGAGGCCGAGGCGGGUGGAUUGCUUGAGCUCAGGAGUUCGAGAUCAGCCUGGGCAAUACAGUAAAACCCCGUCUCUA